GUAGCCAGCACUGUUUUUAAAAAAAAAAAAAUAUAUAUAUAUAUAUAUAUUUAUUUUUUUUUUUUAAUUGGGGUAGCCCCCAAAAUAUUGGGACAUAUAAAAAAGGACAACUCUGUUCCGCAGAGUAGCUGUUGACAUUAUAGUUGCACAGGCACUUUGUUGACUCUUGAGAACCUCGGGCCAAUCGCACAUCCCCGUGACGGUGACGUUGCAUUCAGAUGUCAUCCAUAUCUACAUUUGAUGCCAGUUUCUGCGCCUACCAUGGUGACCACGGGUAAUGGGGAAUCAGGGUUCCAUUCCGUACAGGGACCCUGAGAAAUGGCUACCACAUGCAAGGAAGGCAGCAGGCAGACAAAUAACCCACUCCCGACGCGGAAGGUAGUGAC